AUCGAUGAAGAACGCAGCGAAAUGCGAUAAGUAAUGUGAAUUGCAGAAUUCAGUGAAUCAUCGAAUCUUUGAACGCACAUUGCGCCCUCUGGUAUUCCGGGGGGCAUGCCUGUUCGAGCGUCAUUACACCACUCAAGCCUAGCUUGGUAUUGGAUGUUUGUGGGAUCUUUUAGCAAUAAAAGGCCUGCACAUCUCGAAUUCUUCCGGCUGGUAUUUAUCAAACCCUUGCGUUGUGGAAACAUUUUUCGCUCUGGUUGUUUGACGAAUAGUCUUUCGCCGUUAAAUCUAUUUUUCUAAGGUUGACCUCGGAUCAGGUAGGGAUACCCGCUGAACUUAAGCAUAUCAAUAAGCGGAGGAAAAGAAACCAACAGGGAUUGCCCUAGUAACGGCGAGUGAAGCGGCAACAGCUCAAAUUUGAAAUCUGGCGUCUUCGGCGUCCGAGUUGUAAUUUGUAGAGGAUGCUUCUGGGUUGUCAUCGGUUUAAGUUCCCUGGAACGGGACGUCAUAGAGGGUGAGAAUCCCGUGUGUGACCGACUGACUCCCUCUACGUAGCUCCUUCGACGAGUCGAGUUGUUUGGGAAUGCAGCUCUAAAUGGGAGGUAAAUUUCUUCUAAAGCUAAAUAUCUGCCAGAGACCGAUAGCGCACAAGUAGAGUGAUCGAAAGAUGAAAAGCACUUUGGAAAGAGAGUUAAAAAGCACGUGAAAUUGUUGAAAGGGAAGCGUUUGCAAUCAGACUUGUCUGCGGCGUUCAACCGGUUUUCUAACCGGUCUACUCGUCGUAAGCAGGCCAGCAUCACUUGGUGCCGCGGGAUAAUAACUUUGGAAUGUGGCUCCUCGGAGUGUUAUAGCCAAUGUUGAUGCCGCGCGCGCCGAGUGAGGUCCGCGUUCGCUAGGAUGCUGGCGUAAUGGUUGUAAACGGCCCGUCUUGAAACACGA
rnacentral:rRNA from 1 species